GUGCUUGCUUCGAUAGCACAUAUACUAAAAUUGGAAUGAUACAGAGAAGAUUAGCAUGACCCCUGCUCAAGGAUGACACACAGAUUCAUGAAGCAUUCCAUCUCAAA